AUUGAACGCUGGCGGCAGGCCUAACACAUGCAAGUCGAGCGGAUGAAGGGAGCUUGCUCCUGGAUUCAGCGGCGGACGGGUGAGUAAUGCCUAGGAAUCUGCCUGGUAGUGGGGGAUAACGUCCGGAAACGGGCGCUAAUACCGCAUACGUCCUGAGGGAGAAAGUGGGGGAUCUUCGGACCUCACGUUAUCAGAUGGGCCUAGGUCGGAUUAGCUAGUUGGUGGGGUAAAGGCCUACCAAGGCGACGAUCCGUAACUGGUCUGAGAGGAUGAUCAGUCACACUGGAACUGAGACACGGUCCAGACUCCUACGGGAGGCAGCAGUGGGGAAUAUUGGACAAUGGGCGAAAGCCUGAUCCAGCCAUGCCGCGUGUGUGAAGAAGGUCUUCGGAUUGUAAAGCACUUUAAGUUGGGAGGAAGGGCAGUAAGUUAAUACCUUGCUGUUUUGACGUUACCAACAGAAUAAGCACCGGCUAACUUCGUG
rnacentral:rRNA from 1 species